GGGUAUAUAGCUCAAGCAGUAGAGUGCAUGCUUAGAAUGCACAAGGUCCUGGGUUCAAUCCCCAGUACCUCCC
rnacentral:tRNA from 1 species